GGCAACGGUCUCGGGUACGGGGUGUUACACUGGAUCCCAUCAGAACUCCGCAACUAAGCGUGCUUGGGCGAGAGUUGUACUAGGAUGGGUGACCUUUGAGGAAGUCCUCGUGUUGUACCCC
rnacentral:rRNA from 1 species